rnacentral:rRNA from 1 species
AUGUAUGGAGAACCAGUUUGGAGAAAUAAACACCGUACAUGGAAACGGUUUCGUGAUCCACAAGCCAAGAGUUCCCUGCCUUGGGUGGUCAUAGGGGAUUUGAAUGAAAUUUUGUACUCUUCAAAGAAAGAGGGAGGGAAUGCAAGACCCUUGCCAUAUAUGACGGCGUUUAGGGAAUGCUUGUCCGAUUGCUUGCUGGAAGAUCUUGGUUAUAUUGGUAACAGAUUCACCUGGAAGAGAGGGGGGACAAGAGAAAGACUAGACAGAGUAGUUGGGAACGAGGGAUGGUCCAGUAUGUUCCCAGAUGCUGGUGUUCAUCACUUGGCGAUGGGUGGCUCUGACCAUCGACCAAUUAUG